ACACGACUACAUUAGAUACCCGUGUAGUCCUAGCCGUAAACGAUACUCGCUAGGUGUCGGCCACGGUGCGACCGUUGUCGGUGCCGUAGGGUAGCCGUGAAGCGAGCCACCUGGGAAGUACGGCCGCAAGGCUGAAACUUAAAGGAAUUGGCGGGGGAGCACAACAACGGGUGGAGCUUGCGGUUUAAUUGGAUUCAACGCCGGAAAUCUUACCGGGACCGACAGCAACAUGAAGGCCAAGCUGAAGACUUUGCCGGAUUAGCUG
rnacentral:rRNA from 1 species